ensembl:lncRNA
CAUUUAACAUUUACAUUUAGCAUUUACAUUUAACAUUUACAUUUAACAUUUAUAUAUAACAUUGAACAUUUACGUUUAUAUUUAACAUUUACAUUUACAUUUAACAUUUACAUUUAUAUUUAACAUUUACAUUUAGAUGAAACAUUUAUAUUAUUCAACAACUUUGUGUUACUGCCAAACAUUAUUCUUACAUGAAUAUCUCUCUAAAUGUUUGAAAAAGUGACAUUUGAAUAUUGUUGUGCUUUUUUCCCCAUAUGAUAAUGCUAAAUGUACCAAAACUGAGCAGGGUUUUAGAACGUGCGACAUUUUACAAACGGCGCCCCAUACAUAUGGACUACUCUGGGAGCUCUGGUGUUUUUUAGUAGGAUGCCAUAAACGGAAGUUUACUAUUACAAAAGCUGUGCUUUACUCUAACAUCUGAGCCCAAAAAGCUGUGCUUUGCUCUAAUAUCUGAGCCCAAAAAGCAGAUGUGUACUCAGAAAACAAGGCCUCAUGCCUGCCCUACACACCUAUGGAGAAUAACACCUUUCCAUGCAGUCACUUGAAAGGAGCAAAAUGGUAGCAUUUAGCUCUUCAGAGCUUUGUUUACUUUACGACACGUUUAAACAUCUUGAGGUGAUUGUUUAGGUUUUUAGCUCAGGCAGUCCUUUGAGAGACCUGCAGCAUAUGAUUUUUCUUUCUGAAUGUUGCUGAUGUUGCCAGUGUUAUUGCUAAACGUGAGGUGGAGUCAGAUUGCCUGUUGGUUUACCGUGAGUGCUGUGUGCAAUAGAUAGGAUGACACAGCUGUUUCUGGGAUUCAGGAACUGCUCGCAGGUCAACUGCCGUCAUCAUGCCGCCACCUGAUACUUGAUAAAGCUCAUUGGAUGGAAUGCUCUUAGGUCCAAGAAAUAACCAAUCACAAGUAGGUAUGUUUAGCAGCAGAGGGUUUGCUCUAAAGGCGGGCUGUCAUUGGUCAGUGGUUGGUGUGUGUUUGUUGCUCACUAUGCGAACACUAUCAAGUCUGUUGUGGAUAUCUCGUCACUGUCAAGUGAUCCACCUAUGUCAGUUUGGUCAGAAAUAAAAGACAGGGCAUUGACUCAUUGGCUUCUGCUAUCAGUAUCUAUUUGUAUCUAUCAGUAUCUAUUUGUAAGCACAUAGUAAUCAUACCAGUAUCUCAGUGUUUAGUACCAUCAGAGAAGGAUCCGUAAUCAUGGAGUUGGAUUCAGUUGCAACUGUACUUUUAUAUAAAGUUGUGUUCCUCCUGUGUCAUAACGACAUACUGAUUUGACUUAUGGUGGCUUUGUUGUUGAUAUGUUCUUGUCCCAAUGGCCCAUGUGACUCAUGGCCAAGCAUUUAUAGUUUGUGUUUAGUGAAUGGUGUACCAAGACUGUGGGAAUGCUUGCGCAAUUUCUUAGAAGAAGGCCCUACACAUGAUAUGACAGCAACAUCUACUGAGGGACACAAUAACACAUGUUCAUGAAGCCGCAUGAGUGUGAACAUCGUAGACCUGCUUAUUACAGCUUGAAAACACAAACACCACGCAAUACUUUUUCUAGUAUCACAAAUAUUUUUUUUCCUGAGGUGAAAAGGCUUGAUUUCAUAUGAAAGGAACAUGACGUAACCCCCGAAGGAAGAGAGACAGAGACGGAGACGGAGCGAGAGAGAGAGAGAGAGAGGGAGAUAGAGAGAGAUGGAGAUUGGCAGGCAGUCAGAGAGAGAGAGAGAAAGAGAAGGAGGUUGACAGGGUGUCAGAGAGAGAGAGAGAGAGAAAGGGGAGAGGGGUGCCCUCACCCACCCCCUUCACUCCACCCCUCCCCACCCCCCACCCCCCUGGUCUGAUGCCUGCUGGUGGAAUGCUGUGUGACUCUGGUAUUUUUAGACCUGGCCAGUUGAAAUAGUAACACUCAGGCCUCAUUCAACAUAAACACAACUUGCUCUCCCUCCAUGUGGCUAUGAACUGGUGAGCAGGAUAGCACUGAAAGCUUAAUUUGAGCCAUAGGCUACAGUGCCGGACGAUAAAUCAUACUUUCCACUGAGGCGUGAAUUUUGGAUAUAGGCGUGGCGACAUAUUCUUCUUUGAUAGAGAACAUUUCAACGUGCCUAUUACAAACCUUCACUGCCCAAGUCUGAUUCAUCUAUCUGACAAGAAAUAUCAAUGAUCAAUGUCGUUCCCUUUAUUGAAUGGAUGGCUCAUUAUGCCUACAUAGUUCUGUGUGUUAGGAAGGAAGCAGGAGCAAACCUGUGUUAUGGGUUAAUGCAGUUAAUCUAUCUCGGAUAUCCUCUAGGUUCAAAUAUAUCCUGGCAUGCUUUUUAAAAAAGAAUAAAAUGUUUGUUUUAAAAGGUUACACUUCUUGAAAGACUUAAGCUUCUGGGAAGAGGUAGUCUAAUUUGUCCGAGAAUGUCAUCUAUGACGUAAAUACACAAUAAUCUGGUCUGGUAUCUGGUCAUUUCUAUUCCCAUAUGGUAGUCUAAUUAGGCAGCAGAAGAAGUGCUGCGUACCAGCGCAUUUUCCACAAAAGAUCUCUUCUUGGCCACUACGAAAUGCAGACAGAGAUCGCAUUCAGGUUCAUCCAUCUGUUCAAAUUCAGCAACAUAAAUAUAGGUCACAAUCUCACAUAUCUUAUGCAUUCCUCAUCCAUGUAGACUACUGGUCACUGCUGCUCUUAUUUUCCCCUGUCUGUGGGAUAUCUCACAUUGUCAGUAUAUCUACACAUACAGUCACCAGAAGCCUCGUAUUACGCAAAUCAAUACCUUAUGUCCACUCUCGUUGCUCAGUUAAACAAGCUUUCACUCACCUGUUGCUAAUAAAAAAGCCAUGUAAAGGAUAACAGUCAAUUAACGUUGAAUGCCAUAGUUACCGGAGAUGAACCUGCUGUUGCAGUAGUCAGUAGUCAGAAGCUUAAGAUCAUUCUUUCAUAUCACCACACAGUAGGUUGCCUAUGCUAUUGGGAAGAGGAGUGAAAGUACCCUGUGUUUCCAUCCGAAAACCUUUAUUUCCAUACAUAAUAGAUCGGACCUCUUCUGCUCCCAAUUUAGAUUAUUAAAUUGAAUAUGUACCCAAUCAUAUGUUACGCAUGUUUGGACAUCGACGUGAGAUGGCUAUAUCUAAGUGACCAAAACCUUUUUUAUAGUCUCAAAAUCCGAUUGCCUACCCUAAAUAACAAUAUAGCACAUUCACAGAUCUACCAGGGCCCAGUAACACACCACACAUUCACAGACCUACCAGGGCCCAGUAACACACCACACAUUCACAGAUCUACCAGGGCCACUAACACACCACACAUUCACAGACCUAUCAGGGCCACUAACACACCACACAUUCACACACCUACCAGGGCCCAGUAAACCACCACACAUUCACAGACCUAACCUUAGUGUGUGCCCAUAAUGCCAUCAGUAAGCAGACCUUUACUAAACAGUUGGUUUACACAUUUGCAUAGUAACACAUUUAUAUAAUUUAGUUUACAAAUUUAAAUAAAGUAACAAACAUCCCCAUCAUAUAAUAGUAACCGUGUUAAAUGUUUGUCAUUCAGCAUUUAACUUAAUUUAAUUGAAGUAAUUAUUAAUAAAAUUGCCAUGCCAGGUGAGGUCUGUGAUUCGAAUCCAAUACACUUUCUGUCAAAUUCAACUCGAACUGAGCCAUACACUGUUCCAGCAAAAUAAGCGCGUUGCUUCUGGAGGACUGAAGGCAUGGGUGUUAUUUGAUUGACUGUUGAGUGCAAAUAUCAACAGUUUUUCCCCUGAAUCACAGACUACACCUUUAAUAUUAACAGAAUGAAAACAUGUCGCGGUAGCAAGUGUUCUGAUGUUGUGGUGACCCCCUCCUGCAGGGUAUCUGUGUGCGCUGGAUGCUGCCGAGAGGGCCCCGCUCAUGCGCCCCCCGGGCCCUAUGUCUGACGGCCAGUUCUACUCGCCUCCGGAGUCUGUGGCAGAUUCUGAUGAUGAGUUAUUGGAUGAGGAUAAACAUGACCCUGAGAAGCCCAUUAUCUAACAGGAACCCUCUUCUCACAGCCAUGUGGCGUAAACACAUGCUGGGGCCACCAUACUGGUGUCUGACAACCCCCCACCCCCACCCCCCGAAGCUCAGCAAACCCUCAUGGUUUCCACUCUUCCCACCAAUCCUGUCUGAGCAGGAGGAUGGGAGAGGAGCCCGCCACGUGCCCACCACCAUUGUCUUCUUCAACCCCUGGUCCACUCAUUUCAUUUCACAGAACAAACUGGUGAAGUGCAGUGCCUUUUGCCAGAGACAUUUUAACUUAAAUGCUUGUCAGACCGUUUUCAAACUUUUCUUUUCUUGUCUGUGCCAUCUCCCACGUGAACAAAGCCUGGAUGUUGAGGAGGCUGAGGGUCCUUACGGUUUGGGAGUGAAGGAUUCUGGGUCCGCUUUGUGCCUGUACGAUAUGCUCUGCUAUGAUCUGCCCUGUACCCUCCACACACAGUCACAGCUCCCAAUGUCUUCACUGCAGAAAGACUCUGGAAAAAAAAAAAGAACUGCAGCACUCCCCUGAGUAUGUGUCAAAACAAAAUGUGACUGAAACUUUGCAUCUUGAUGGGCUUUAGGAAGGUAUGUCAUAUUCACAGUAAUGAACAGUACAGCGUGCAAUAUUCACAGUAAUGUACAGUACAGCGUCCAAUAACAUGUGAUCCCAGUUUUGUGUUUGAUCAUCGCAUGGCUGGCAGAUGUGGCCAAGGCCUUGAAAAGGUGCUCUUGUGUCAUCUGUGUUUUCUGCACGCGUUCAUGUCCUAGUGAAGGACCUCGCAUGUACUCACACAGAGGUCUGUUCACAGUGAAGGGCUAACCUAACUGGACACCCAACAAUAUGCUCUUAACGUAUGAAGUGAUGUAUUUGUAUGCAUGAACAUGUAAUCUGUAGUUAGUUUGUUUUUAUGUGUGACCGGACAUUGUGUGCUCUGUGCUCUGGCCGAGAUGAUGACACCACACAGAGAAGAGCUCGCUUUAGAACACGUCCGGCACCAUUCUGUGCCGGGCCACACUGGGCCCACAUCCGGUCCUCGUCUGGCCCAGAACCGGCUGCUCUCCCGGUAGCCACAGCUGCUAAUGAGGGCUCAUGCACUGUGUGCAGGAAAAACAAGCACUGGUGACGCAUUACCACCUUUCGAAAUGAAACCAAUUUUGUCUUUUUAUUUGCCACAAUAAAUAUACUGUUGAUUAUUUUAACAAAAAUGUGGUUAUUGGUUGUGUUUUUGCACCAUUGCACCAUGCAAGGAACUGUGCAUAUCAUAGAAUGAUACUUCAGUUAUGGUAGAAGUAUGGUAGCUAUACUGUAUACAACAGGGAAAGCAAAUAAUGAAGUGGUUUUACACAUUGCUACAUCAGAAGUCUUUAAACAUUUCCGUACCCGCGGAAUUCUGUAAUCUGGACUCCAGGCAAUCCUGGGAAUACAGGUGUUUGCUGUGUAGUUGGCUGAGAGGGGAAUUUAUAGAUUUCUUUCCAACGUACGCUUUUUGUCUGUUAUUCAGUUUGGGUGAGGGGCUGAGAUCAAGUCAAAUCAGGCGUUCAUGUUUCGCUCUUGUAGGUGAUGCACUCUUGCGUUGACCACCUUACCCACAAAUAACAGUGCAGAUGCAAGGCAGCCUAGCAAAAACAACCUCCACCAUCUCAUAAGCAUGAAUGCCAUCACGCUGUGGUUAAACUGCUGCACUUUUUCCAGUAAGUGCUGGCUUAGCAUCAUUAUACACACAUUAACCGCAUGUUCCUACCACAGCGCCUGUGGACCUGCUGCACUUUCAAAAGCUCUCUGCUCAUUUUUUGUACCACAGUUUUUGUAGAUGAAUUAAUCUGAUUAGACAAAUGCACUGUGCAACUUACAGUAUGUACAAU